UGGGGAAUAUUGGACAAUGGGCGAAAGCCUGAUCCAGCCAUGCCGCGUGUGUGAAGAAGGUCUUCGGAUUGUAAAGCACUUUAAGUUGGGAGGAAGGGCAGUAAGCGAAUACCUUGCUGUUUUGACGUUACCGACAGAAUAAGCACCGGCUAACUCUGUGCCAGCAGCCGCGGUAAUACAGAGGGUGCAAGCGUUAAUCGGAAUUACUGGGCGUAAAGCGCGCGUAGGUGGUUCGUUAAGUUGAAUGUGAAAGCCCCGGGCUCAACCUGGGAACUGCAUCCAAAACUGGCGAGCUAGAGUAGGGCAGGGGGUGGUGGAAUUUCCUGUGUAGCGGUGGAAUGCGUAAAUAUAGGAAGGAACACCAGUGGCGAAGGCGACCACCUGGGCUCAUACUGACACUGAGGUGCGAAAGCGUGGGGAGCAAACAGG
rnacentral:rRNA from 1 species